AAGUAUUGACCAAUGCUUGACUGUUUUACUGUCUUAUUUUAUCAUCACUGAAGGAAUUGAUUCUAUGAAACUUUCAACCUAAAUUGCUUUUGUUUUUUCAGAUCACGAAGCAGAUCUCCUACCUCUCGGAAGUAUUCUCCCAGACCUUUGAAGCCGAAGCGAGAAAAUUCACUUUCUCCAUACUCUCUAAGGCACAAAGCACAAUCGUAUAGAGAUCGCUACACCCCACCUUACAAUGAUUCUUUCAAUGAUCCCCCUUACGGUCGUGACAAAUCCUUCCGUAACUCUCACUUCAGAGGAAAUUUCAACCGUGGUACACGUAGUGGGCGCCACACUCGCACAGGAAAUCAGUUUCAACAAUCCUCAUCUUAUUAUCAAAAUAAUACCAUUCCUGAAGAGAACCAGUCCAGGUAUUUAACCCUCUGCCUUUUCCUCUUUAUUUGUAUUCAACUCUUUGAAGUGUUUUCUCAAUUUGUUUUGACUUUCCCAAUUUUUCUAUGUUUCAUUUCUUGUAUCUAGUAAAAAUUUUACAUUUGAAGCUUCGUGUGGCAAGGAAAUCCUGUUCUUGUUUUGUAUUUACUUUCGCGCAAGUCCUCGUUUGUUGAAAAAUGGUACUAUAUUAUCUAAUAUUGAAAAAAAUAACUUCAAAACUGCAACUACCCAGGUUAUAUCUGAUGAUAUCUAUUGUAUAUUUAAAGUCUGAUCGUCAUCCUAGUUGUUUCAACCUGUUCAAACGAGCAACAGGAAAUCAGUCAUUAUUGUUUAGGUAUUAUAUGAAGUGAAGACUUUUCUAGAGUUUCAACAUUAAUCAAUGAAGUUAAUGUUCAGUUGAAAUGGUUAGAAGGGCGUUGAUGACUAGAAGCGGGAGAGAAAAUCAUUGAAGGUCAAAUUUGAAGCAAUAAGCAGAGAUAUCCUCACUUAUCGCCUCUAAUAAGUGUGUUCAAAUGAUUCCAUCUCAAUGUAAAUGUUUAAUUUGAUUUUGUUCUGUUAAAUUAAGAGGUUGUUCCAUCUGCCAUAUGAGUUGGGCCCAGAAUGGAAAUUUUUCAUUUUUUCAGGUAUCAAGGGUAUGGUCUAAGGUGUCCGAAAAUGGCCAACUUUUUGAU
rnacentral:lncRNA from 1 species